UAGCAGGCUUGAACAAAUUAGAUGAAGGGCACAGUAUUGGGGAUGCAAACAACAUCUGUGUAACUGAGAUACUUAACAAUAUUUCAAAAUGGAAGAUGUUUUGCAGCCGGCUCUUUUGGAUAUGGAAGUUUCGGCGGCCACUCCUCAUACAGACGUUUACAGACGUUUUCCCCGCUGUUUCCUUUCCGGCGAGUCUGGUAUCACUGCUGCCCUGCAUGACCUAGUGUUUGUAUUGAAGACUGAAACUCUGAUAGUCUUUGUAUUGGAGAGAAAGUGAUGUAUAUAUAUAUAUAGAUGUUUAGAUAUAAUUGCUUCCCUAUUGUUAGUUAACGUAAGGGCAGAAAUCGAUUGGUCUUCAAUUAAUGUCUUUGGAAAAACAAA